rnacentral:tRNA from 1 species
GCUAAUGUGGCUCAGUCGGUAGAGCAGUUGAUUCGUAAUCAACAGGUCGCGGGUUCGAAUCCCGCCAUUAGCUCCA